CGUAGGGUGCGAGCGUUAAUCGGAAUUACUGGGCGUAAAGCGUGCGCAGGCGGCUGUGCAAGACAGAUGUGAAAUCCCCGGGCUCAACCUGGGAACUGCAUUUGUGACUGCAUGGCUAGAGUGCGUCAGAGGGAGGUGGAAUUCCGCGUGUAGCAGUGAAAUGCGUAGAGAUGCGGAGGAACACCGAUGGCGAAGGCAGCCUCCUGGGAUGACACUGACGCUCAUGCACGAAAGCGUGGGGAGCAA
rnacentral:rRNA from 1 species